rnacentral:rRNA from 1 species
GUUUCCUACGGGGCGCAGCAGUGGGGAAUAUUGUACAAUGGGGGAAACCCUGAUGCAGCGACGCCGCGUGAGUGAAGAAGUAUUUCGGUAUGUAAAGCUCUAUCAGCAGGGAAGAAAAAAGACGGUACCUGACCAAGCAGCCCCGGCUAACUACGUGCCAGCAGCCGCGGUAAUACGUAGGGGGCAAGCGUUAUCCGGAAUUACUGGGUGUAAAGGGAGCGUAGACGGUUAAGUAAGUCUGGAGUGAAAGGCCGGGGCCCAACCCCGGGACUGCUCUGGAAACUAUUGAGCUUGAGUGCUGGAGG